CCUACGGGAGGCAGCAGUGAGGAAUAUUGGUCAAUGGACGAGAGUCUGAACCAGCCAAGUAGCGUGAAGGAUGACUGCCCUAUGGGUUGUAAACUUCUUUUAUAAAGGAAUAAAACGAGGCACGUGUGCCUUUUUGCAUGUACUUUAUGAAUAAGGAUCGGCUAACUCCGUGCCAGCAGCCGCGGUAAUACGGAGGAUCCGAGCGUUACCCGGAUUUAUUGGGUUUAAAGGGAGCGUAGAUGGGUUGUUAAGUCAGUUGUGAAAGUUUGCGGCUCAACCGUAAAAUUGCAAUUGAUACUGGCAGUCUUGAGUACAGUUGAGGUAGGCAGAAUUCGUGGUGUAGCGGUGAAAUGCGUAGAUAUCACGAAGAACCCCGAUGGCGAAGGCAGCUUACUAAACUGUGACUGACAUUGAUGCUCGAAAGUGUGGGGAUCAAACAGGAUUAGAUACCCUAGUAGUC
rnacentral:rRNA from 1 species